UACGUAGGGGGCAAGCGUUGUCCGGAUUUAUUGGGCGUAAAGAGCGUGUAGGCGGCCAGACAGGUCUGCUGUGAAAACUCGAGGCUCAACCUCGAGACGCCGGUGGAAACCGUCUGGCUAGAGUCCGGAAGAGGAGAGUGGAAUUCCUGGUGUAGCGGUGAAAUGCGCAGAUAUCAGGAAGAACACCCGUUGCUAAGGCGGCUCUCUAGUACGGUACUGACGCUGAGACGCGAAAGCGUGGGGAGCGAACAGG
rnacentral:rRNA from 1 species